UACAGUUAUGGAAAAAUGCCGAUCAUCUUCUGCUUCACACACAUCUCCAUGAAAUGCCCCGGAUUUCCUCUACGAUGCGCAUGCGUUAAAUAACGAGUCUUCAACUUAAGCAACUGUGGUCACAGUUUUGCAUAGUUUUAAAAGAAGAGCCUGUCAAAAAAGAAAAGAGAGAGAAAACUUUUCUCACGUUGAGGAGAGAGCUUCUCCGUCCUGUACGCAGGCGGCUUGAAUACAACACGGCUAAAGCGCCUCCCACUGGCGUUUCUCGGUACUCCUCAUGCUUCAUCAGACACCUGACCACCAUCUUCUCCCGUUUGCUUGUUUUCCGAGAGGAUUUGAAGUUUGAAACCAUGCAGUGCAGGGGGAUGGAUGUGUGCAGAAAAAGGAGUGAUGGCAUCGCAGGGCCAGGUCAUUUUUCAAGCUUGACUGAUUGAAAGUGGUCUGACUACUCAAGGCCGGUGUUGCCAUACAUGCAGCAGGUAGAGGCCUUUUCGGUGUUAUGAAGGACUCUUCCCUUGCUGCUCUCGUGUGUUCCUCAAGUACUAGUUAGCACGAGGUGGCAGAAGAGGAGCCCCCAGCUCGACAUCAACAACAACAACAACAUCAACAAACAGGAAUUGAUGGCGAGUGUUUAUUAUCUGGUUUAAUUGCUCCUCAUCUGGAGGAUCUGACAGUUGCGGUUAAUGAGAGAGGGAGAGGAGGCACACUCUGUUGGCAGCCAGUUUUCACAGUGUAAGACGUGUAAGUGUGUGUGGGUGUGUGUCUGUGGUGAAAAGAGGAUAGAUCACAUUCCAGCUCAGAAGCGAGUAACACAGAAGAAACAUCAAACGGGCCUCGUCGAAUUAUCGAAACAGGCCUCUGAAUCAGGAAUUUCAAGUCCACACCCAAACGUAUAUACGCUCUUACUGCAAACCUGCGUUCGCAGUUAGAUAGAUACACCUGUACCUGUACCGACAAACACAGGUCUUAUCCUCCGCUGCAGGCUGUGUACGGGAAUCGGAUCCAAGCUGAGACAGGAUUUCUCUGAAAUCGAGCCUCUUCCUCAGUUUUUCAUCUGGCCUGCAGCACACCGGGCUCAUGUCCAACCAGGGACCUCCCUGACAUUGUGCAGUGUCACGCACUCGCAUCCAGGCAUGGUCUGACAGAGGAAACAUCAAGAAGCAGGAGGCAUUCGAGCAAGUGGGGAUGCUCAGAGAAGGCCUGGAACAUGGAAUAAGGCUCUCUCCUCGGAGAAGGAUGUACUUUUACUGUUAAUUUUUGCCCCACAACCCAAAGCCAGACGCACACAUUAACACAAUAUAAACACACGCACCACCAGAACCACACACAGGCUCGUUGUCCCAUUCAUAAAUUUCUCCUGUUGAGAAACACGGGCAUUUUUAAACAGGGCAUACCCGCCCCUUUUACUAUUCCAGCUCAGCAGGCCCACAUGGGAACAAUUAGGGGUGUACGCAAGUUUGGCGAAGGUCCGUAGCAACCAGCUGCAUCUGUUUUUAUUUACCUUUUUGCUCUGGUGCUGGAUAAUGUCAUGAGCACAUCUGCUACUGUGCAACGUAACCGUGGUUGCAUGCGUGGUUGACCCAUGAUUCUGUAAUUACCCGCCGAGCGAGAUGAAGAGGCCCAACAAACCACUCAAAGCCACACAUAGCCUUCCUCUCCCCCUCUUCCUCCCUCCCUCCUUCCCCCACCGUGUCUCUCCAGUGGCAUGAAACUCCGUCUGCCUGAGAGCUGGUAGCCAAUGCUGAAGUGGCAUUUAAUGACUCAAAGUCGUUCACAAUAGUAAUUCUGACUUCAUUUUGAUGUCAUUAGAUUGCCACUUUCGCUCUAUUAUGCAGGAUUAAAAUGUGGUUGUUCUGCAGUGGGAUGAGACUGAUCACAUUCCCUCAUCUGAUUACUUGUUUGUGGUCAUACAGAACAAGCUGCACAGUCUUCUUGCUGGCCCACUUUUAAUGAUCUGAACUAGAAAAAUGUCAUUUUUGUAGCUCAAAUAAGGACAAAUAAAGAAUUUGCUCCACAGCAUGUGUCUUGCUUAAAAAAUUGUGGACAAGCGGUCAUGCAAGGAGACUCAGAAUAGUCAGAGAUGGUAAAUUUAGUUGCAUGACCAGACCCCGUGACAUGUCUCUGUAAGGUUUCA